rnacentral:rRNA from 1 species
UACGGGGGGGGCAAGCGUUGUUCGGAAUUACUGGGCGUAAAGGGCUCGUAGGCGGCCAACUAAGUCAGACGUGAAAUCCCUCGGCUUAACCGGGGAACUGCGUCUGAUACUGGAUGGCUUGAGGUUGGGAGAGGGAUGCGGAAUUCCAGGUGUAGCGGUGAAAUGCGUAGAUAUCUGGAGGAACACCGGUGGCGAAGGCGGCAUCCUGGACCGAUACUGACGCUGAGGAGCGAAAGCCAGGGGAGCAAACGGG